rnacentral:rRNA from 1 species
ACGGGUGAGUAACGCGUGGGAAUCUACCGUUUUCUGCGGAAUAGCUCUGGGAAACUGGAAUUAAUACCGUAUACGCCCUACGGGGGAAAGAUUUAUCGGGGUAGGAUUGGCCCGCGUUGGAUUAGCUAGUUGGUGGGGUAAAGGCCUACCAAGGCGACGAUCCAUAGCUGGUCUGAGAGGAUGAUCAGCCACAUUGGGACUGAGACACGGCCCAAACUCCUACGGGAGGCAGCAGUGGGGAAUAUUGGACAAUGGGCGCAAGCCUGAUCCAGCCAUGCCGCGUGAGUGAUGAAGGCCUUAGGGUUGUAAAGCUCUUUCACCGAUGAAGAUAAUGACGGUAGUCGGAGAAGAAGCCCCGGCUAACUUCGUGCCAGCAGCCGCGGUAAUACGAAGGGGGCUAGCGUUGUUCGGAAUUACUGGGCGUAAAGCGCACGUAGGCGGAUAUUUAAGUCAGGGGUGAAACCCCAGAGCUCAACUCUGGAACUGCCUUUGAUACUGGGUAUCUUGAGUAUGGAAGAGGUAAGUGGAAUUGCGAGUGUAGAGGUGAAAUUCGUAGA